AUGAGCCUGGCCGCCGCUCUUGGUGGCACCGUCGACGACGCAUGUGGCUCGUUGCCUUCAUGGUUGUUGGUGCCGCCGCUCGCUGGCGUGUGGUUGGUGAGUUGCUGCCUUCCCACCGUGUGCAUGUGCUGUCGCUGCCACUUGCAGCUUCCUCGCAUUUGCUGCUUCGCUGCUACGUGCAUGAGGGAGCUUGGUGGCCGGCUGCCGGCGUACGUGCUGCUAGCUGCUGCUACUUUGCUGCUUGAGAGAUGGCAUGCAAGCGAGCCGGAGAACGAACGGUGCGCACCUGAAGCUAGAGGUGCUCAAGGACUACGCCGGCAGGCUGCUGCAGCUGCUCGAGUCCUCCACCGGCGUGCUUCGAGUUCUCCAUGGCUGUGUGCCUGUGUAUGGGAGUGUGGAUGUGUCAGACGGUGA
rnacentral:rRNA from 1 species